UUGGUUAAGUUAUUAAGGGCGCACGGCGAAUGCCUUGGCACUAGGAGCCGAUGAAGGACGGCACUAACACCGAUAUGCUUCGGGGAGCUGUAAGUGAGCUUUGAUCCGGAGAUUUCCGAAUGGGGGAACCCACUACGUUUAAUCGCGUAGUAUCUUGACGUGAAUACAUAGCGUCUUGAUGGCAGACCCAGGGAACUGAAA
rnacentral:rRNA from 1 species